GAGACAUCCGCUAGAGGAAUUGGAGGAAGGAUUAACCCAUUUGUAAACAUAGCAGUUUCUCUGAAACUGCUAUGUUUAUAAAAAAAUGGGUUAAUCCUAGCUGGACCUGGCACCCAGGCCACUUCAUUAAGCUGAAGUGGUCUGGGUGCCUAGAGUGUUCAUUUAAGGACCAGAGCUGUUUUAACACUUUUGUGGUGUUUGUGUUUAACUGUAAUUUUCCGCUCUCUCAUUUACUGUUCCCAUACAAAUUAUAUAUUGGGGGGUUUUUCAGGACAAA